rnacentral:rRNA from 1 species
AUAUCAAUAAGCGGAGGAAAAGAAACUAACAAGGAUUCCCCUAGUAACUGCGAGUGAAGCGGGAAAAGCUCAAAUUUAAAAUCUGACAGUGGCUUCUGUCCAUCCGAGUUGUAAUCUUAGAGAAGCGUCUUACCCGCGCUGGACCGUGCUACAAGUCUCCUGGAACUGGAGCGAUCAUAGAGGGUGAGAAUCCCGUCUUUGACACGGACACUACCAGGGCUUUUGUGAUGCGCUCUCAGAAGAGUCGAGUUGUUUGGGAAUGCAGCUCAAAAUGGGUGGUGAACUCCAUCUAAAGCUAAAUAUUGGCGAGAGACCGAUAGCGAACAAGUACCGUGAGGGAAAGAUGAAAAGCACUUUGGAAAGAGAGUGAAACAGUAC